GACGAACGCUGGCGGCGUGCUUAACACAUGCAAGUCGAACGGAAAGGCCCUGCUUUUGUGGGGUGCUCGAGUGGCGAACGGGUGAGUAACACGUGAGUGACCUGCCCUUGACUUUGGGAUAACUUCAGGAAACUGGUGCUAAUACCGGAUAGGACCUCCUGCUGCAUGGUGGGGGUUGGAAAGUUUCGGCGGUUGGGGGUGGACGCGCGGCUUAUCAGCUUGUUGGUGGGGUGUUUGCUUACCCAGGCUUUGACGGGUAGCGGGCCUGUGAGGGUGACCGGCCACAUUGGGACUGGGAUAGCGCCCAGACUCCUACAGGAGGCAGUAGUGGGGAUUAUUGCACAGUGGGCGGAAGUCUGAUGCAGUAACGCCGCGUGCGGGAUGACGGCCUUGGGGUUGUAAACCGUUUGCGCCUGUGACCACGCGUGAGUGACGGUAAUGGGUAAAGAAGCACCGGCUAACUACGUG
rnacentral:rRNA from 1 species